GGUUGUGGCUCAGGGGUUGAGCGCUCACCUAGCACAUAUGAGGCCCUGGGUUCAAUCCUCAGCACCA
rnacentral:tRNA from 1 species